AGGAGCAACAGCCCCAGUGGCGGGGCCAGCUCUGGAGCCCUGGAUUCAGCUCCCCCAGUAACUCCGGAGCUCUCCGUCUGCAGGGCCUGGAGGCUCCGGGCGGGG
rnacentral:pre_miRNA from 1 species